GUCCCUGCAGUGUAAUGUAUAGCGCUUUGGAUUUCCAAUCCAAAGGUCGUAGGUUGGAAUCCUACCUGGGGUG